rnacentral:piRNA from 1 species
AGAGAUGAUGGAUGCCCAGCUGA